rnacentral:sRNA from 1 species
GGAAGGAUCAUUAUUGAAUGAACUUGGUGUGGUUGUUGCUGGCCCUCUCGGGGGCAUGUGCACACCCACCAUCCUCAUCUCUCCACCUGUGCACCUCUUGUAGACCUGGAUAGACUUUCCGAGGCAACUCGGUCGGGGAGAUUGCUGCGCUCUGUGAGCCAGCUUUCUUUGCAUGUCCAGGCCUAUGUUUUUCAUAUACCCCUAUAGAAUGUAACAGAAUGUAUCAUUGGGCCUUGUGCCUAUAAACCUUAUACAACUUUCAGCAACGGAUCUCUUGGCUCUCGCAUCGAUGAAGAACGCAGCGAAAUGCGAUAAGUAAUGUGAAUUGCAGAAUUCAGUGAAUCAUCGAAUCUUUGAACGCACCUUGCGCUCCUUGGUAUUCCGAGGAGCAUGCCUGUUUGAGUGUCAUUAAAUUCUCAACCUUAUUAGCUUUUGUUGAUAAUGGAUUGGAUGUGGGGGUUUCUUUUGCUGGCUUCUUCACAGAUAUCAGCUCCCCUUAAAUGCAUUAGCUGGUGCCCCGCGUGGACCAUCUAUUGGUGUGAUAAUUAUCUACGCCGUGGAUGUCUGCAAUCAUAUGGGUUUUGCACUGCUUCUAACCGUCUGUUCAUUCGGACAAUACAUGACAAUUUGACCUCAAAUC